CCUACGGGAGGCAGCAGUGGGGAAUAUUGGACAAUGGGGGCAACCCUGAUCCAGCAAUGCCGCGUGAGUGAUGAAGGCCUUCGGGUUGUAAAGCUCUUUUGCCAGGGACGCGGUACCUGGAGAAUAAGCCCCGGCUAACUUCGUGCCAGCAGCCGCGGUAAUACGAAGGGGGCUAGCGUUGUUCGGAAUUACUGGGCGUAAAGGGCGCGUAGGCGGUUUGAUUAGUCAGAUGUGAAAUUCCCGGGCUUAACCUGGGGGCUGCAUUUGAUACUGUCAGGCUUGAAUUCGGGAGAGGAUAGCGGAAUUCCCAGUGUAGAGGUGAAAUUCGUAGAUAUUGGGAAGAACACCGGUGGCGAAGGCGGCUAUCUGGACCGAAUUGACGCUGAGGCGCGAAAGCGUGGGGAGCAAACAGGAUUAGAUACCCUUGUAGUC
rnacentral:rRNA from 1 species